GUCUUUGCCGGCAUAUAUCACUGUCAGCUCCUCUUAAAUGCAUUAGCGGAACUUUAUGGACCGGCUUUGGAUUGAUAAUAAUAUCUAUGUCAUCGCUGCGUACUGUGUUCAGCUUCUAAUGGUCUUCGGACUGUCUCUUUAUGAGGCAUACACUUUUUAAGCUUGACCUCAAAUCAGGUAGGACUACCCGCUGAACUUAA
rnacentral:misc_RNA from 1 species